GAACCGUCUAAACGUUAUUCGGAAUCACUGGGCUUAAAGGGUGCGUAGGCGGCCCGGCAAGUUGGGUGUGAAAUCCCUCGGCUCAACCGAGGAAUUGCGCCCAAAACUGCCGGACUUGAGGGAGACAGAGGUGAGUGGAACUAUGGGUGGAGCGGUGAAAUGCGUUGAUAUCCGUAGGAACACCGGUGGCGAAAGCGGCUCACUGGGUCUCUUCUGACGCUGAGGCACGAAAGCUAGGGGAGCGAACGGGAUUAGAUACCCCGGGUAGUCCUAGCUGUAAACGAUGAGCACUAGAUCGUAGAGAUCUCCAUGUCUUUACGGUCGAACUGAAAAGGUUUAAGUGCUCCGCCUGGGGGAGUAUGGCCCGCAAGGCUG
rnacentral:rRNA from 1 species